CUGGAGUAGAACUGGAGAGGACACAGCCUCCCUCCUGGAAGUGAAUUUAAGAUUCUGUGGCUCAGAACCUUACCUUGCACCCUCGAUGGACCACAAGCCCUGGAAAAGGUUUGUGUUGAACUGUGUACUCACAGUAGGAAGUAGAACUUGCAGAGAAGCUGCGUACGGGCACAGAGCUCACGGGACGGAGCACAUGCCGUGGGCGGACGCUGGGCAGCAGCCUGGGCAGUCAGCUUAC